rnacentral:rRNA from 1 species
GCUUGUCUCAAAGAUUAAGCCAUGCAUGUCUCAGCAUAAGCCUUUUCACGGUGAAACUGCAAAUGGCUCAUUAAAGCAGUUACAAUUUAUUUGAUGGUGACUGUUACAUGGAUAACUGUGGUAAUUCUAAAGCUAAUACAUGCGUCAAGUCCCAACUUGAUGGAAGGGCUGUGCUUAUUAGAUACAAAACCAAUUUAGGCUUGCCUGAUUGAUUGGUGAUUCAUAAUAACUUUCGGAUCGUUUACGAUGCAUCAUUCAAGUUUCUGCCCUAUCAGCUUUGGAUGGUAGGGUAUUGGCCUACCAUGGCUUUAACGGGUAACGGAGAAUUAGGGUUCGAUUCCGGAGAGGGAGCCUGAGAAAUGGCUACCACAUCCAAGGAAGGCAGCAGG